rnacentral:rRNA from 1 species
GACGAACGCUGGCGGCGUGCCUAAUACAUGCAAGUAGAACGCUGAAGGAGGAGCUUGCUUCUCUGGAUGAGUUGCGAACGGGUGAGUAACGCGUAGGUAACCUGCCUGGUAGCGGGGGAUAACUAUUGGAAACGAUAGCUAAUACCGCAUAAGAGUAGAUGUCGCAUGACAUUUGCUUAAAAGGUGCAAUUGCAUCACUACCAGAUGGACCUGCGUUGUAUUAGCUAGUUGGUGAGGUAACGGCUCACCAAGGCAACGAUACAUAGCCGACCUGAGAGGGUGAUCGGCCACACUGGGACUGAGACACGGCCCAGACUCCUACGGGAGGCAGCAGUAGGGAAUCUUCGGCAAUGGACGGAAGUCUGACCGAGCAACGCCGCGUGAGUGAAGAAGGUUUUCGGAUCGUAAAGCUCUGUUGUAAGAGAAGAACGAGUGUGAGAGUGGAAAGUUCACACUGUGACGGUAUCUUACCAGAAAGGGACGGCUAACUACGU